ACGGGACCGCGUGACUGGCGGAAGUGGAACUGACCACAUGAAGUGCGGCCCGAAGUUCAGCCGACCGCCUGGGCAUCACCG
rnacentral:ncRNA from 2 species